CUCUCACCGUGCAUUAUUUACUGACAGCAUUGAUGUUUGUCUUCUUUGUUUUUAUUUCAACGAAGGUUUGAAAGUUUCGCAAAAAAUUAUUUCACACUAUUUUGGAAAACUAUGAUACCGCUAGAAACGCUAAGUGCACACUUUCUACAUGAUGCUCUUCCGCUGUUCCCGGAACCUCAGAACAACAACUCAAUGUUGAACCUCGGAGCAACGAUUAUAUGGCAGAAGCGAACCGCGAGUGUGGUGUGUUAAAUUAAAUUGCGAUCCGCUUUUCUUGGAUGUCGCAACAGCCAUUACACGUGCCCGAGUCCCGUCAUCCGGAUCAGAAACUCCAACAGCCGUGGAACAACAGGCCGCUCAUUAAAGGGUUUGGCGCUGCUACCUUCGCAACCCGGUGGAAACUUGUUUCAUUAUCGUCUGUGCAGUUCGUGGAAAUGGUGGUGCUUCUCACCAAUCGCCGGCAUCUAAACAAAUACAGCUCUUUAGCUGUAUUUGUUUAGAUAGUUGUCAACCUAUAACUGGUGCCAGUGAAAAACCGAAGCAACAAAUACCGUUCCUCCCGGCCAGUGUCGAAACAGGAGAGACAAGACUACUAUCGGAACGAUAGUAUUAGCGGUGUUUCAGACGAGGUUUCGGCUGGCGUUAUUUCCUCCCGGCUUUGAAGAUGUUCACAAGGUCAUCAGCUGAUAUUGAAAAUUACCCUCACCCUCUAGUCGCAAAUUGGGCUUUCGUAAUGAUCAUUCAUAAAAAAAAAUGCCCAUCACGACAUAACGGACUUUGCAAGCUAUUUCUGAGUUGAUAUUGGCACGCCAUCUCUUCCUGUCGUGGUAAUCCAAGCCGUAACAGGAUUUAGCGGAUUUUCACCAGAACUGCCGAAACGGUUCUUGAACCAAUGGCACCGAUUAACAGCGGAAACAGCAAACCACCGAACUUGUUCCGGGGCUAGACAGCAGCAUAGGCAUACAGUGUCAACUGAGACUUCACACACAAGUCGCCUAUCUUUAGCCCUGACAGUCCAUCAAGAGCUCCCGACACGGAUCUUAUAAUGCGGAAUCCACCUACUGAUACUCACUGAAUUAGUAGUAGACGCCGUACUCGCUAGAUGCAUUUGAGCACUAUCAACACCGUGAUCCAUGUUCGCCAGUACCAUAAAGUGCCUGCACCUACAAGCAUAUUCCUGAUUUGAGAGUUCAGCAAAUGGCAGAUGGUCCCGUCAACCACUUUUUAAACUGCUGGUGCAGCACUCGAGGCAGUACCGUCUUAUGUCCUAUACAUUCAAUUUUGGUGUAAGCCAGUCAAAGAAAUUAAUUAUAAUUUCAACUUAUAUGUUUGAAUAAAUUCCCUGUCCACGGAUGAUGGGGUCAACGUUGAUAAGUCAAGUGUCUGCAUAUUGUAAUUUGUGAAAUAAUUUGUUAUUUUGUAGUACACAUUGCUAGUAUUGUAGUAUUAUUAGUACCCAACACAUUACCGUUAGAACGAAAUGAAUUUAAUUGCAUCCUAGUAUGGUUACACUAUUAAGCAGUACUGAAGUACUUUAAACCCGUUAACAUUUCAAUUUAAUAGAAACGCGUCGAGUAUUUUUUGUCAAUAUAUAGAAAAUAAUUAAACACUUAUUAUAUCAUACCUUCAUGCAAAUACUUAUAAGUAUUUCUCUAUAGAGAAGGUGUCGCAUGAUCUAACAACAUCUGCUUGAGUAUAUGCUGCGGAGGUUCCGGCAGGGUCUAGUACCAGUCUUAACUAACAUAAUACUAACACAAAAGACUGGGAAGCAAACGAUCAUCCAUUGCACCAAUUGUAGUUUAUAGUUUUGUAUACAGUAAGUAGUAAAAGUAGAUACUGCAGAUUUACUAAUUUUGCAUUAUAUAUGGUGAAUGUAUCUGUUAUUUCUUCUCAGUAAUAUUUGUUAUUUUACUCUUACUUUUACUACAUGGAUCAACGUUUAAACAAACCUGUUUCUCUCUUAAUUUUUUUUUCGGGUUAGAAAAAAAUAAGACAUACUCUAAUGCAGAGAAAGAUUGAAGGACAUAGGAGACGUGACUAAGUGUAUUCUGAAAGACAAAUAAAAUUAGUUGACUACCUUAUAACACAGAA